UAUCUCUGUAGAGUCUGCAUAUCAAUAAGCGGAGGAAAAGAAACUAACAAGGAUUCCCCUAGUAACGGCGAGUGAAGCGGGAAGAGCUCAAAUUUGAAAUCUUCAAGGUUUGACCUUGACGAAUUGUAGUUUAAAGAAGUGUUUUCGGUUAGAGGAGUAGUAAAAGUUCUUUGGAAUAGGACAUCAUAGAGGGUGAGAAUCCCGUAUUUGACUAUUCUUUCUAGCUUUGUGAUACACUUUCAAAGAGUCGGAUUGUUUGGGAAUGCAGUCCAAAAUGGGUGGUAAAUUUCAUCUAAAGCUAAAUAUUGGCGAGAGACCGAUAGCGAACAAGUACCGUGAGGGAAAGAUGAAAAGAACUUUGAAAAGAGAGUUAAACAGUACGUGAAAUUGUCAAAAGGGAAGCGUUUGACACCAGUGUCGUUUUUCCGAAAAUCAAUUAAAAAUUGAUUCAUGCCAGGUUGUAUUGACCUUAUCAGCUUGCAAUUUGGUUUUGGGUCUCUUUUGGAUGCACUUUUCGGUUAACAAGUCAACAUCAAUUUCCUUUGCUGUAAAAAGGUAAGAGGAAGGUGGCUUCAAUUUCGGUUGAAGUGUUUAUAGCCUUUUAUCUCUGCAGUCGGGGAGAUUGAGGUCUGCAGCGUAGAUCCUUCGGGGCUAGAUACAUUUAUGCUAAGUUAUAGCUUUUCAUAGACAACUUGUUGACUAUGUUUAGUCAUGUAGCUUACUCGUAAGUGCUAUUUUACCUACGCUUAGGAUGUUGAAGACUCUACAGAGAUA
rnacentral:rRNA from 1 species